GCACCACUUAGACAGUGUGAGACUCAGAAUCCUCCCCCACUGCAGCCCCAGAGCUGGGCACCCCGGGAGCUCAGGAGGACCCAGUGCAGGGCAGCAUCCCUGGGGGGAAUUGCCAGCAUGCAGGGUCCAGGGUCGUCUCUGAGGGCUGUGAGCUGUGGACUAUCAACCUGAAGGAAAAGGGAAGAAAGCAAAUGGGCUUGUCAUGUUCACAGGUGCUGAGUACCACUGUUGCUGUGGGUCGUGUGAAGGAGGCCCACCCCUGUGUCCUGAGGGCAGCCCUCCCCCACGGCAAAUGGCUUGUCCAGAGGCGUCCAGUCCAUCGGAGCCCAGAAGCCACUGCCACAGCUUGCUCACCUUGACUCUCUUUGCUUGCACCCAGAAUUCACACCAGCACUGGGCCCCUCAGUGUCCAGGAAGGAAGCCCGUGCUAUGUCCACAGACCCACUGAUGGGAAGACCAAGUGACGGGAGGGAGCGGAGCCCCGCAGGCCUUCCCAGGGCUCAAAGCUUACCCGAGGUUCUCUAUCUCACCCCAGCAUCCAAACGCCAGGAUCCCAAUGCAGACAGCCCCACCAUGCCCGGCUAAUUUUGAUGCCUGUGCUUUCUGAUCAGCCCCCUCCACCUUGUCUGCCUUUGUCCCAGGGCAGUCCUUGAAUCCUUUGCAGAGCUGUCCCGCCCCAUGGUGUUCCUCCAAGUGUGACGAGACUCUUGUCCACCCUCCUUGACUGUACAAGCAGGACACUUGGGAACCUUGUUUCUGUUCUGUUCACAUCUGGAGACUCCAGGCUGUGCACAGGCCUGGGGAUGACAGGCCUGCCCCUUCUCCAACUCCUCUCUGGCUCCUCGGGUGGAGGAAGUCGCUACAGGUGUGUGUUUCUCUGGGGAUGCUUCACAGAGCCACUUCUGCCCUCACGCUGGAGAAAUGAAAUAGUCGUCAAACUCCACAGAGAAUUGGUCUGUGCUGCCUAGAACGAUCCAGACCACCCCUAUACACACACACACACACACACACACACACACACACACACACACACCCCCCAUAUGCUGGGCUGAAGUCUAAACCCCAGAGACAUUGGGAGAGGGCCAAGUUGCCAUGAGGACAAGCAGUGGUCGGGGAGCCAGCCCCAGAUGAAGAUGAGUGUGGAACGGGCCCCAUGCGAGAAAAGGAGGUUUGGUGGUUUUAACCAGGUAAGGAGAAAGUCCUCAGAUUACGUUAAUGGCCCAGAAAGGACAGAGGAGGCCAGGAAGGAGCAAAUGGCCCAAAUUCCUUGUCUGUCUUCUGAAGGAGCCUGAAGUUAUUGUGUGUGAUUUUCAUUUGGAUAGCAAUAUAAAUGUGUGUUUGAUAAUUUUCAUGAAAAACCUUAAGGAACCUCCAACAGAAUUACACACCGGCUGUCUAUUUUCCAAAUCAUUGCAGAAGAUAAAAGCAAGCACAACAGUCUACAGAAAACAAGUAAAAUGGAACAAAAAAUGUAAAAGAACCUUAAAAACAGAAAGUCAAAAUCAAGAUGAAGACAUUGGUCCAAGCAUAAGCAAUAGUGUGAACAACUUAGGCCUCCUUAAUAAAAAGCAAAAUUUUUCAAAUUACAUAUAUUUUA
rnacentral:lncRNA from 10 species